rnacentral:rRNA from 1 species
GUGGGGAAUCUUGCGCAAUGGGCGAAAGCCUGACGCAGCCAUGCCGCGUGAAUGAUGAAGGUCUUAGGAUUGUAAAAUUCUUUCACCGGGGACGAUAAUGACGGUACCCGGAGAAGAAGCUCCGGCUAACUUCGUGCCAGCAGCCGCGGUAAGACGAAGGGGGCAAGCGUUGCUCGGACUUACUGGGCGUAAAGGGCGCGUAGGCGACCAGCUUAGUCAGAGGUGAAAGCCCAGGGCUCAGCGUUGGAAUUGCCUUUGAUACUGGCUGUAUUGAGGUGGGUAGAGGUGAGUGGAACUCCGAGUGUAGAGGUGAAAUUCGUAGAUAUUCGGAAGAAAACCAGUGGCGAAGGCGACUCACUGGCCCAAUACUGACGCUGAGGCGCGAAAGCGUGGGGAGCAAACAGGAUUAGAAACCCGUAGUCC